AUUUUAUUCUUUGAUUUUCUCUCAAAAUUUUCUUAACAAAAAUUAUCGGGAAUAUUGCGUAGAUCGUUUAUAUAUAUUUGCAUGUUCGUUUGAGAUCCAGCGAGUUUUGUCGCGGAAACCGGCGAGCAAAGGUUUUGAUAUUUCAACGGGUGAUAUUUUUAUAUUUGGAAUAAGCGAGUACUGCGAGUAGUUUGAGGUGUGGAUUUCCAAUUUCUUGUUCCGGAAAUUCCUGGCUUGAAUAAAGUGAGAAUGACUUUUCCUUUAUGUGUCUAGAGUUGCAGUAGCUAGAAUAAAUGAACGAUGAUACCUUAGUAGUCGUUGGACUUAUUUAUGCUUUAUAUUUUAUUAUAACGCUUAAACUCUGAUAUAAUGUAAUGUGUAAUGCUGUGCGAAA